UAGAGUUUUGAUCCUGGCUCAGAGCGAACGCUGGCGGCAGGCUUAACACAUGCAAGUCGAGCGGGCCCUUCGGGGUCAGCGGCGGACGGGUGAGUAACGCGUGGGAACGUGCCUUCUGGUUCGGAAUAACCCUGGGAAACUAGGGCUAAUACCGGAUACGCCCUUUUGGGGAAAGGUUUACUGCCGGAAGAUCGGCCCGCGUCUGAUUAGCUAGUUGGUGGGGUAACGGCCUACCAAGGCGACGAUCAGUAGCUGGUCUGAGAGGAUGAUCAGCCACACUGGGACUGAGACACGGCCCAGACUCCUACGGGAGGCAGCAGUGGGGAAUAUUGGACAAUGGGCGCAAGCCUGAUCCAGCCAUGCCGCGUGAGUGAUGAAGGCCUUAGGGUUGUAAAGCUCUUUUAUCCGGGACGAUAAUGACGGUACCGGAGGAAUAAGCCCCGGCUAACUUCGUGCCAGCAGCCGCGGUAAUACGAAGGGGGCUAGCGUUGCUCGGAAUCACUGGGCGUAAAGGGCGCGUAGGCGGCGUUUUAAGUCGGGGGUGAAAGCCUGUGGCUCAACCACAGAAUGGCCUUCGAUACUGGGACGCUUGAGUAUGGUAGAGGUUGGUGGAACUGCGAGUGUAGAGGUGAAAUUCGUAGAUAUUCGCAAGAACGG
rnacentral:rRNA from 1 species